rnacentral:lncRNA from 1 species
AAUGAUAGUGGGGGUAGAUUUUGUGAAUACCUGCAUCCCUUGGAAGACGCUUAGCAAUACCUGGCGUAGUGAAAAUCAGGUAAGACAUUUCAAUAUGGGCUUUAUCUAAAUGUGAAUAUAUAUUUAUGCUCAGAUAUUUAAUUUGGUAUAGUAGUAUUGUCAUUUCAAUUUGGAAAACGUUGUGGAAAAUUUAAAACGAUGAUUUGAGAACUCAGUUUUAGUUCACAUUGUGUAUUAGUUCGGUUCUGUUAACCUGAUGUUUUAGUUGCCCGUAGCUUCAUCCUCAUUGCUCUAGCUUUCUUUGUGGUGGCUGCAAGGAUGAACAUAUUUGUUCUGUAAGAUAUGUGGGCCAUAAAAGGGUAGCAAGAAAUAUUAGUUUAUUCACUAAGUAACCUAUGUUUUCUCCUGUUUCUGUUGUGGAGUUUGUUGCACUGGAGCUGCCGAUGUUGUAUUCCUCGGGAAUCCGCAAAGCUGUCUUUGAUUUUGAGCAUGAAAGUGUUGUCGAGGUCUGGGCUCUACGUUGAUUUGCGGGAAGGGUAGGUGGAGUUGGAUUGAGUGUUUCUCUUGUUGAAUCUGUAUUUAGCGAACAGUUUAAUUAAGCUAUGGCAGUAUGUUUUAUCAAUUAAUUUUUGAGUAAGCUAACCUUGUAGACAUUGUAGCUGACCUUGAUUGAUGCGUUGUCUUUUUUUCAGUUGACAGAUGGACCGGCGUCUUGCUCUAGCUGAUUUUCCCAAGGACUCUGCAAAUGUUUCAGGAUCAAUGUAAAUAUAGGGUGGCGCUAGAAUGGAUUCUAAUAUUCUCAAACACACCUUCAGAAGCUACGGAAGGACUGCACGGCCGUGGAAUGUACUCGGUUCUUAACCAUGGUCGUCUGUCCAAAUGUUUAGCAACACCUGCAUAAGGUUGAUCUAUCGUUUUUAUUUUUGUUCCAUACAGCUUUUAAUACGAAAAUGGUUGUUUGGUAACAAAACCUGGCUCUUCAGUGAGCGUUUGUGACAGAGCAUGUGAGGGUUGGAGGCUGAAGCGUUGUGAUCGUCUGCUUGCCUUCACAGAACUUGAUCCUGGAUCCCCGGCGGUGCUGGGAUUUUUCUUCUUUCCCAUUUAAGUUUGUAUAUUUGGAGCUUGCGAAUAUCAGAGAUAUUUGAGUGAGGCCUGUAUGUACGUAGCUUGUAUCGGUGAGGGUCUGCUCAUAUGGUAGUAUCUACUUUCAUUUGGCUUUUUGUUUUCUAGGACAAUCGGUAUAGAUAGCUUUGGUUUUUUUUUUGGUAUGUCGAACAUUAAAGUCUUUUAUUAUUGGACUUAACGUAUUCUGAGUCGAAUCUUUGAUAACGGUUUUAUAAUUAAAGACGU